rnacentral:rRNA from 1 species
GGACGGGUGAGUAAUGCCUGGGAAAUUGCCCUGAUGUGGGGGAUAACCAUUGGAAACGAUGGCUAAUACCGCAUAAUAGCUUCGGCUCAAAGAGGGGGACCUUCGGGCCUCUCGCGUCAGGAUAUGCCCAGGUGGGAUUAGCUAGUUGGUGAGGUAAGGGCUCACCAAGGCGACGAUCCCUAGCUGGUCUGAGAGGAUGAUCAGCCACACUGGAACUGAGACACGGUCCAGACUCCUACGGGAGGCAGCAGUGGGGAAUAUUGCACAAUGGGCGCAAGCCUGAUGCAGCCAUGCCGCGUGUAUGAAGAAGGCCUUCGGGUUGUAAAGUACUUUCAGCAGUGAGGAAGGUAGUAGUGUUAAUAGCACUAUUAUUUGACGUUAGCUGCAGAAGAAGCACCGGCUAACUCCGUGCCAGCAGCCGCGGUAAUACGGAGGGUGCGAGCGUUAAUCGGAAUUACUGGGCGUAAAGCGCAUGCAGGUGGAUGAUUAAGNCNNAUGUGAAAGCCCGGGGCUNNACCUCGGAAUAGCAUUUGAAACUGNNUAUCUAGAGUACUGUAGAGGGGGUA